UACAGAGGGUGCAAGAGUUAUUCGGAGUUACUGGGCGUAAAGAGCGCGUAGGCGGUUUGUUAAGUCUGGUGUGAAAUCCCUGAACUCAAUUCAGGAAGUGCAUUGGAUACUGGCAAACUGGAGUACAGGAGAGGAGAGCGGAAUUCCAGGUGUAGAGGUGAAAUUCGUAGAUAUCUGGAGGAACAACAGGGGCGAAGGCGGCUCUCUGGACUGUCACUGACGCUGAGGCGCUAAAGCGUGGGGAGCACACAGG
rnacentral:rRNA from 1 species